rnacentral:rRNA from 1 species
GAAACCGUUCAGGGGUAAACCUGAGAAACCCAAAAGAUCGAAUGGGGAGAUUCAUCGUCGACGAGGCUGGCUUCCGUUGGUGCGCAGAUACCCCGUAUGGGCCUUCGUGGUUUCCAGUGCGAGGGUACACCAUCUUCGGCAAAUGUUCCGGUCGCGUAGUCGUGCACUUCUCCCUUAGUAGAACGUCGCGACCCGUUGCGUGUCGGUCUACGGCCCGAGUUGUUGCCUGUCGUGUCGCUACGUGCGCACACGACAGACGCUCGAUCGCCUGGCCGGCUGCGUGACGGUACUCUGACGGUAUCGGGCCGCAACCAAUCCAUUCUCGAAUGUGUGUGCGUCAGGCCCGCCGCAAGCUCGGUUAGUUUUACCCGAAGGUACGGACCUGGUGCCGGCUUCGGGCCUAACCAGCUGUUAGCAGGCGGUGUCCUCGGACUGGCCAAGCUUCGAAUUACCGGUCAGCGACGCUACUGCUUUGGGUACUCUCAGGACCCGUCUUGAAACACGGACCAAGGAGUCUAACAUGUGCGCGAGUCAUUGGGACAUGUAAACCUAAAGGCGCAAUGAAAGUGAAGGUCGUACCUUUGCGUCGACCAAGGGAGGAUGGGCCGCGUUACGAUGCGGCCUCGCACUCCCGGGGCGUCUCGUUCUCAUUGCGAGGAGAGGCGCACCCAGAGCGUACACGUUGGGACCCGAAAGAUGGUGAACUAUGCCUGGUCAGGACGAAGUCAGGGGAAACCCUGAUGGAGGUCCGUAGCGAUUCUGACGUGCAAAUCGAUCGUCGGAACUGGGUAUAGGGGCGAAAGACUAAUCGAACCAUCUAGUAGCUGGUUCCCUCCGAAGUUUCCCUCAGGAUAGCUGGCACUCGCUCGUUCUCUUUGGUGAACGUGUGCGAGUCUCAUCUGGUAAAGCGAAUGAUUAGAGGCCUUGGGGCCGAAACGACCUCAACCUAUUCUCAAACUUUAAAUGGGUGAGAUCUCUGGCUUGCUUGGAUCAAUGAAGCCACGAGAUAUUAUUUGGAUCAGAGUGCCAAGUGGGCCAAUUUUGGUAAGCAGAACUGGCGCUGUGGGAUGAACCAAACGCAGAGUUAAGGCGCCUAAGUCGACGCUUAUGGGAUACCAUGAAAGGCGUUGGUUGCUUAAGACAGCAGGACGGUGGCCAUGGAAGUCGGAA